rnacentral:rRNA from 1 species
UACGUAGGGUGCAAGCGUUAAUCGGAAUUACUGGGCGUAAAGCGUGCGCAGGCGGUUCGCUAAGACAGAUGUGAAAUCCCCGGGCUUAACCUGGGAACUGCAUUUGUGACUGGCGGGCUAGAGUAUGGCAGAGGGGGGUAGAAUUCCACGUGUAGCAGUGAAAUGCGUAGAGAUCCGGAGGAACACCAAAGGCGAAGGCAGUGUCCUGGGGAGUACCUGACGCUCAGGUGCGAAAGCCAGGGGAGCGAACGGG